GUGGGCUGGUCAUGUGUUCUGUUUAAAAACCAUGUGUGCAUGUCAUGUGUUCUGUUUAAAAACCAUGUGGGCUGGUCAUGUGUGCUGUUUAAAAACCAUGUGUGCAUGUCAUGUGUUCUGUUUAAAAACCAUGUGGGCUGAUCAUGUGUGCUGUUCAAAAACCAUGUGUGCUAGUCAUGUGUGCUGUUUAAAAACCAUGUGUGCUGUUUAAAAACCAUGUGUGCUGUUAAAUAACCGUGUGUGCUGUUCAAAAACCAUGUGUGCUGUUCAAAAACCAUGUGUGCUGUUCAAAAACCAUGUGUGCUGUUCAAAAACCAUGUGUGCUGUUUAAACACCAUGUGUGCUGUUCAAAAACCAUGUGUGCUGUUCCAAAACCAUGUGUGCUGUUCAAAAACCAUGUGUGCUGUUCAAAAACCAUGUGUGCUGUUCAAAAACCAUGUGGGCUGUUUAAACACCAUGUGUGCUGUUUAAUAACCAUAGAUAACCUUUAAAAACAUGUUAAGUGCUAAUGGCUUCCUAAAAUCACAUUGGAUUAAUAUUUGAAUGUUUUGGCAGGACAUCAAACACAUUAUUCCUGUGAUAUGCUCUACUGGAAUAUUUAUCAGCUUCCCAAGAUACAGCACAUGUCAACCUUUUGAUGAAUCCUGUUGGGUCCGGUUAUGUAAUGUAGUGUACACAAAUGAAAAUGCAGGGAGGGUUUUUGUUGUUGUUGAAAAGCUUAAAUGAUAACAAGGUGUGAUGUUUUAAGAUCGGACAAUGUAACUUUUUCCUCUUCUUCGUUUAAGGACCAUGCAGUGAAAGUGUCUGUAGUUGCAUUGUGGCCUAGGGCAAAUUAUAUGUAUGUUUGAAUGGAAUCAGAAUGAUUCCCCUUUUAGAAGCAAACACAAUGUUUUUAAUGCAGAAGAACCAUUUACUUGUUUAUCAUAUUUCCCAUCUAGAAAUCCUGCAACAUCCCUUGUUGAUCUGAAAAGGAUUGCCUUCUUCUUGCCCAUGUUGUCAAGAAGGAAAUGGAACAAAGGCCUAUUUGUAAUGCUGAUGAGGAAAUGGAACAAAGGCCUAUUUGCAAUGCAGAGAGGCUUAUUAACCAGCCAAUCCCAAUCAGUCAAGUAUGAGUGUCCAUAUGGAGGAGAAUGUCAACACUGGUACACAUGGUGUCUAAUCAGAGAGCAGCUCCUGACCUAGGCAGUAAUCAUGACAAGUGGCCAUCCACUGGCCAUAAAGCACAACACAGCUGGUGUAAAAGUGUCCCCAGAGCACACAGCCAGCAGCAGGUGUGGCAGCCAGAGCUUAACAUCUUGCUGAUACAGUCAGUGAGUUAUUGCUUUAUUACUCUUCAUUUCCCCACUCUGUCCACUUCACUGAAACUGCAGCAGCAGACAAAGGAAACCACCUGUCUGAACAAUGAUAAGAGAAGAGGAGAACAAAUGCACACAGAGAUAGGUGAGGAGGAUAUGGCACUGAGUUGUAUAUAAUGUAUUAUAUGUGAACUUUGUGUAAACUCCACUGUCUGUAUUCUGUCUAGAGAGUUAAAUGGUGUCUAUCACUAGCAGCACC
ensembl:lncRNA